CCUACGGGAGGCAGCAGUGGGGAAUAUUGGGCAAUGGAGGCAACUCUUACCCAGCAAUGCCGCGUGAAUGAAGAAGGUCUUCGGAUUGUAAAGUUCUUUAAUUGGGGACGAAAAAAAUGACGGUACCCAAGGAAUAAGCCCCGGCUAACUACGUGCCAGCAGCCGCGGUAAUACGUAGGGGGCAAGCGUUGUUCGGAAUGACUGGGCGUAAAGGGUGUGUAGGCGGUGUAGCAAGUUAGAAGUGAAAUACCUAGAGCUUAACUCAGGUGCUGCUUCUAAAACUGCUAUACUUGAGUGCAGUAGAGGAUAGUGGAAUUCCAGGUGUAGGAGUGAAAUCCGUAGAUAUCUGGAGGAACAUCAGUGGCGAAGGCGACUAUCUGGCACAUAACUGACGCUGAGGAGCGAAAGCGUGGGUAGCAAACAGGAUUAGAUACCCGGGUAGUC
rnacentral:rRNA from 1 species